rnacentral:piRNA from 1 species
UGGUAGUUGGAAGAAUCAGAUUUUUGAAAG